UAAUAGGAUAUCAGAAUUCAU
ensembl:piRNA 21ur-5269 ncRNA